rnacentral:rRNA from 1 species
UACAGAGGUCUCAAGCGUUGUUCGGAUUCAUUGGGCGUAAAGGGUGCGUAGGUGGCGCGCUAAGUCGGGUGUGAAAUCUCGGAGCUUAACUCCGAAAUUGCAUUCGAUACUGGCGUGCUUGAGGACUGGAGAGGAGACUGGAAUUCAUGGUGUAGCAGUGAAAUGCGUAGAGAUCAUGAGGAAGACCAGUGGCGAAGGCGGGUCUCUGGGCCGAUAUCGACGCUGAGGAGCGAAAGCGUGGGGAGCGAACAGG